rnacentral:lncRNA from 1 species
AUGGCCGUGGGGCUGGGCCAAGCCGAAACCUGGAACUCCCUCUCGUGGGUGCAGGGGCCCAAGCACUUGGAGCACCUGUGCUGCUUUCCCAGGCGCGUUAGCAAGGAGCUUGGAUCGGAAGUGGAGCAAGUGCUCCUAUGGGCUGCGGGUGUCGCAGGUGGUGGGUUUUCUAAAAGCAGUGGACAGUCUCUCAGGCUGGCCCCCCGGCCACCGGCCUCUGCUUCCUGCUCCCUGAGCCCCGCUGCCUGCAUGCCUUCUCUGAGCCCCUCUGCUCUGUCGGUUUUGAAAAAACAGACUGUGACAAUGACACGUGGGAGGGGCCAAGAAAGGCCCUCGGUCAAGGGCGGCGACGCUGGAGCGGGGUUGUCUUUGCAGGGAGGCGGCAGCUGGGGCAGGGAAGGGCCAGGCCGGGGCAUCUGGCUGUGCCCAGUGCAACUCGGGGACAGGUCCGAGGCCGGAGCGGGCGGCGGGCGGGGGAGCCCGGCUCCCCCGCCCGAAGGCCCCUGGCUCACCCCUGCCCUCCGCUCCCCAGGACCGAGGCUCCGCCAUCCCGAGCAGGCCUGGGAUGGGGAGUGGCGUAAAAGAAGGCUCGGUGGCUCUGCGGGAGGAUGCUCAGGCCGUCCUGCCCUCGCCCGUCUCGUCAAAGAGUGACCACAGGCAAGUGCUCAGCUCCCUCCUGUCCGGGGCCCUGGCUGGCGCCCUCGCCAAGACGGCGGUAGCUCCCCUGGACCGAACCAAAAUCAUCUUCCAAGGUAAAUGCUGUCUGUCCCUGCGCCAGCCAGCCAGCCCCCCACCCCCACCCCCCGCCGCCUUAGUACCCCCAGGCUUCUUCAAAUUGCUUUUUUCUUUUUUUAAGAUUUAUUUGACAGAGUUACAGAGAGGUAAACACACACACACACUGAGGUCCUCUAUCUGCUGGUUCACUCCCAAAUGGCUGCAACAGCCAGAGCUGCGCUGAUCCGAAGCCAGGAGCUCCAUCCGGGUCUCCCACAUGGGUGCAGGGGCCCAAGCUCUUGGGCCGCCUUCUACUGCUUUCCCAGGCCAUAGCAGCGAGCCGGAUCAGAAGUGGAGCAGCCGGGACUUGAACCAG